GCUGUGAUGGUGUAGGGGUAACAUCUAAGCUUCCCAAGACAGAAUCUAUGGUCUUCACGAUCGUAUGAUUUACAAUCUAGCUUGCUUAGGCUCCGAGUUCGAGUCUCGGUCACAGCA